rnacentral:rRNA from 1 species
GUCCACGCCGUAAACGAUGGGUGCUAGGUGUUGCUGGUAUUGACCCCGGCAGCGCCGUAGCUAACGCGUUAAGCACCCCGCCUGGGGAGUACGGCCGCAAGGCUAAAACUCAAAGGAAUUGACGGGGGCCCGCACAAGCGGUGGAGCAUGUGGUUCAAUUCGACGCAACGCGCAAAACCUUACCUGGGUUGGAACCCUCCGGAAGUCCGCAGAGAUGUGGAUGUGCUAGCAAGAGAACCGGAUGUCCAGGUGCUGCAUGGCUGUCGU